rnacentral:rRNA from 1 species
ACGGCCGCGGUAUUUUAACCGCGCUAAGGUAGCGUAAUCAUUUGUCUCUUAAAUGGAGACCUGUAUGAAUGGCACCACGAGGGUUUAACUGUCUCCUUCCCCCAGUCAAUGAAAUUGAUCUGCCCGUGCAGAAGCGGACAUAAGAACAUAAGACGAGAAGACCCUAUGGAGCUUUAGGCAAAAGAUCAAACAUGUAAAGAAAACUACUUAAAACCAAGGAGACCAAAAGAUUUUUAAACCUAAUGUGAAAAUGAUCCACAUGCCUUCGGUUGGGGCGACCGCGGAGGAAAAUAAAGCCCCCGCAUGGAAUUGAAGACACCUUCCAAACAAAGAACCACAGUUCUAAGUAACAGAACAUCUGACCACAAGUGAUCCUGGAUAAACUAUUAACCCGAUCAAUGAACCAAGUUACCCUAGGGAUAACAGCGCAAUCCUUUCCCAGAGCCCAUAUCGACGAAAGGGUUUACGACCUCGAUGUUGGAUCAGGACAUCCUAAUGGUGAAGCCGCUAUUAAGGGUUCGUUUGUUCAACGAUUAACAGUCCUACGUGAUCUG